ACCUCCCAGAGCCCCUCUCUUCCCCUCACAGAAUCACAGAAUGGUUCAGGAAGGACAAUUUCAGACAGUCAGAAGGGCAUCCCUAAAGGGGCAGGUAGAGGCACAGACCUGCAAUAACAAGUGCAACUGUCUCCCCUUCCCUAAAAGGAGGGGGAAAAGACUACAAUAAAGAACUUAAAUCUUCUCUCAGCUUUGGCUGUGCUCCCACAGCACUGAGCAGCAACUUCCAUCACCAAUUUCAGACAGUCUGGACCUGGGAGUCCAGUCUGAUCCAAGCUGCAGUGGGGUAAUACUGGAGCAGGAGUACAGAAAGUCCAUGGUCU